UUUUGGACAAUGGGCGCAAGCCGGAUCCAGCCAUGCCGCGUGCGUGAAGAAGUCCUUCGGGUUGUAAAGCUCUUUCGGACGGACAGAAUUCGCGCAGGCCAAUAGCCUGCGCGAUUGUCGGUCCCGCCAUAAGAAGCACCGGCUAACUACGUACCAUCGACCGCGGUAAUACGUAGCGUGCGAGCGUUAAUCGGAAUUACUGGGCGUAAAGCGUGCGCAGGCGGUUGAUUAAGACAGGCGUGAAAUCCCCGGGCUUAACCUGGGAACUGCGCUUGUGACUGGUCAGCUAGAGUACGGCAGAGGGGGGUGGAAUUCCACGUGUAGCAGUGAAAUGCGUAGAGAUGUGGAGGAACACCGAUGGCGAAGGCAGCCCCCUGGGCCGAUACUGACGCUCAUGCACGAAAGCGUGGGUAGCAAACAGG
rnacentral:rRNA from 1 species